AACGAACGCUGGCGGCAUGCCUAACACAUGCAAGUCGAACGAGAUCUUCGGGUCUAGUGGCGCACGGGUGCGUAACGCGUGGGAAUCGGCCCUUUGGUUCGGAAUAACAGUUGGAAACGACUGCUAAUACCGGAUGAUGACGAAAGUCCAAAGAUUUGUCGCCAGAGGAUGAGCCCGCGUAGGAUUAGCUAGUUGGUGUGGUAAAGGCGCACCAAGGCGACGAUCCUUAGCUGGUCUGAGAGGAUGAUCAGCCACACUGGGACUGAGACACGGCCCAGACUCCUACGGGAGGCAGCAGUGGGGAAUAUUGGACAAUGGGCGAAAGCCUGAUCCAGCAAUGCCGCGUGAGUGAUGAAGGCCUUAGGGUUGUAAAGCUCUUUUACCCGGGAUGAUAAUGACAGUACCGGGAGAAUAAGCUCCGGCUAACUCCGUGCCAGCCGCCGCAGUAA
rnacentral:rRNA from 1 species